rnacentral:antisense_RNA from 1 species
AAGCAGAAUUCUGAUGGCCAAACACGAGGAAGCUGGAUAAGGGGAAGGCUGGGGAUGGGGUGGGGGAGGUGGGGCUAGGUGGGUGUCUGUCCCUUAGCCCCCUACCUCUCUACCUCCUCUGUGUGCUGCAGAGACUGCCCACCUGUGACAGUGACAGUGAAGAAGGCCGAGUCAUCUCCAGCGUCGCAUACAAACUCGCCCCCGUCCUCGGGCUGGGCAGCAGGUAGCACCAGGCGGCAGCGUGGCCCAUCCCUCUCCAGCACCAGGGCCUCACUCUCCUCCACUUCCAGCCCGUCCUUGUACCAGCGCACAGGGGCAUCCUCCCGAGACAGUUCACACAUCAGCACCACACACUCCAAGGUCACGGCAAUCAAGGUCACCUCAUCGCGAGGGUAUAUGAUCCGCACUGGGGGUUCUGCAGGGUGGGGACAACCACAGCCUGUCACAAGCGCACCCGUCAGCCUCUCUGGAGCUAUUCGGCAGCAUGAAGUCCCCAUCACCCACAUAAUAAUAAUAAUAAUAAGUGAAAUAAUAAUAAGCAAUAA